UACGUAGGGUGCGAGCGUUGUCCGGAAUUACUGGGCGUAAAGAGCUCGUAGGCGGUUUGUCGCGUUGUUCGUGAAAACUCACAGCUCAACUGUGGGCGUGCGGGCGAUACUGGCAGACUAGAGUACUGCAGGGGAGACUGGAAUUCCUGGUGUAGCGGUGGAAUGCGCAGAUAUCAGGAGGAACACCGGUGGCGAAGGCGGGUCUCUGGGCAGUAACUGACGCUGAGGAGCGAAAGCGUGGGGAGCGAACAGG
rnacentral:rRNA from 1 species